ACGGAAUAAGCAUGUAACACUUUGAAUUAAACUCUGCUGACUGCUAAGAUGGUGUUUCUUUGGUGUGUAAGUUAAACUCUGCUAACAUGGUGCUCCAGCACAUGGUGAACCUGGGCGGCCCCACUCAUUCAAAUAUAUUAUUUAACUUGAUCAUGCGAUCAUGCGGUGCACCACCUUCCUCAACAAAUUCCUCAAAAUUUUCACCUACCCUGUUUCUAAGAUCUCUCCCCGGCUUUGUUCCGUACAAUCACCGGAGUUUUCACAGGUCAAUCGUCGCCGGAAAUUUCAUCGAGUCUCUGUUGUCACUAAUUAUCCCCGGUGGUGAGGAAAGGCCAAUACGCUUUUUAACGAGGAAUUUGCAGUGAAAAAAGAAGAAGGAAUGUCUUCCCAGAAUCAGGCAUUUUGGCUAGCAAAGAAUCCUGGGGUUAUGAAUGAUGGUGACAUGAUGACAUAUGAAAAUUCUUCUAGAGUUGAGUCCAAGCGUCCUCAUCUGUGGUUCAUGGAUAGCCCUGAAGUGGAUCUGUUUCCUAAUAAGAAACAGGCAGUAGAGGUUUCAAACAACAGUUUCUUAACAGGAAUGCCCAGCUGCAAUACUUCUUCAUGGGAAAAUCCUUCAUGUUUUCAAUCGUUCACUGAAC